GCGGGCGUGGUGAAAUAGGUAGACGCGGCGGACUUAAAAUUCGUUGACCCUUAAAGGUCGUGCCGGUUCAAGUCCGGCCGCCCGCA
rnacentral:tRNA from 1 species